GACGAACGCUGGCGGCGUGCCUAAUACAUGCAAGUAGAACGCUGAAGGAGGAGCUUGCUUCUCUGGAUGAGUUGCGAACGGGUGAGUAACGCGUAGGUAACCUGCCUGGUAGCGGGGGAUAACUAUUGGAAACGAUAGCUAAUACCGCAUAAGAGUAGAUGUUGCAUGACAUUUGCUUAAAAGGUGCAAUUGCAUCACUACCAGAUGGACCUGCGUUGUAUUAGCUAGUUGGUGGGGUAACGGCUCACCAAGGCGACGAUACAUAGCCGGCCUGAGAGGGUGAUCGGCCACACUGGGACUGAGACACGGCCCAGACUCCUACGGGAGGCAGCAGUAGGGAAUCUUCGGCAAUGGGCGGAAGUCUGACCGAGCAACGCCGCGUGAGUGAAGAAGGUUUUCGGAUCGUAAAGCUCUGUUGUAAGAGAAGAACGAGUGUGAGAGUGGAAAGUUCACACUGUGACGGUAUCUUACCAGAAAGGGACGGCUAACUACGUG
rnacentral:rRNA from 1 species